rnacentral:rRNA from 1 species
GACAGAGGGUGCAAACGUUGUUCGGAAUUACUGGGCGUAAAGUGCGUGUAGGCGGUUCGUUAAGUUCGUUGUGAAAGCCCCGGGCUCAACCUGGGAAUGGCAAUGGAAACUAGCGAGCUGGAGUGUGGCAGAGGGGGGUGGAAUUCCGCGUGUAGCAGUGAAAUGCGUAGAGAUGCGGAGGAACACCGAUGGCGAAGGCAGCCCCCUGGGCUAACACUGACGCUCAGGCACGAAAGCGUGGGGAGCAAACAGG